rnacentral:rRNA from 1 species
GGCGAAAGGGAGAGUAACGCGUUAGGAGACCUGCCCUCGGGCCCGGGAUAGCGGCGGGAAACUGCCGGUAAUACCGGAUAAUGUCCCCGGACCAAAGGUGUGAUUCCGCCUGAGGAUGGUCCUGCGUCCUAUUAGUUAGUUGGUGGGGUAACGGCUCACCAAGACGAUGAUGGGUAGCGGGCGUGAGAGCGUGGCCCGUCUCACUGGGACUGAGACACUGCCCAGACACCUACGGGUGGCUGCAGUCGAGAAUCUUCCGCAAUGGACGCAAGUCUGACGGAGCGACGCCGCGUGC